rnacentral:lncRNA from 1 species
GGAUAAUGAAUUUACCAAGGGAGAUUGUAAGAAUUAACUACAGCAAGAUAGAAGAAACAGUAUAAACAAGAGAGGAAAUAUAUCUGAAAAAAAUCAAGUGACAGUUGUAAUUGGCUUCUGAAGGAGAGAGAGACCUCAGCUCAAAUUGAAAGACAGGAAGAGUAGAAGGUUAAUUGGAAAUAGUUAUUUAUAGGUUUGUAUCUCUUCCACCCUCUAGUUUACAAAAGUACAGACUACAUUAUGCUUGUGUAGGCAAGAAUUGUGUAUAAAAAAAAAAGCACAUUCUGGUGAUUUUUCAGAACUAUACUGACAGUACCACCUUUGAAGAAGUGUGUUGUGACCUUCUAGAGCAGGACUGAAAGGCCUGCAAUUGACAGUUUGCCUGAGGGAAGAGAAAGAGCAGCACAAUUAACAGGAUGCUGGUUGUACAUGUGCCACACCAGGUCAGGUCGCUAAAGCCGUUAUUCUCCCCCAUCCCAGUGCGUUCUUUGCACCCCAUAUGAACACAAUAUUUGUCUUUCAUGACAAGGAGGUAGCUAUUUUAGAGAGGCAGUAGAAUGGGAGUACUAAGAAUUUGGGCUUUGGGGUUAGUGUGGAAAGUAACAAUGUCUUUUCUAUCAAAGGAAAUCUUGGUUACUCCAUUUUGAUUCGGGUUUCGGUUUUGGCUGAAAUGCCCCUGUGACCCCCUUCCUCUUUACCUCUUUUCCCAGCAAUAGUUCGUUUCAAUUAGCCAACUAGGAAGAAUGUGCGCCCUGACCUGACCAACGGGAAGGGGACAGGUACAUCACCUGCCUUAGGGAUAAAUAGGGGAGGGUCCUUUGUUUAGCGUGCAUGCUUUUUGGAGUACCUGUGCCCAUCUGCAGAAGUAAAGAGCCUUGUGGAGAUUUCUCCUUGUCCAUGUGUCUCACUUUCUGACACUGACGACCUGAGCCAGAGUUAUCUUAAUUUCCAAUAUUAGGUACCCUGUGUUUGAAUCUCAGCUUCUUACUCAUUAUUUAACCUUUUUUUUUUUUUUUGAUUGAGUUGACAGAUGAGUUUCAGUUUUCUCUUCUGUCAACUAGAAAAAUAAGUACUCCUACCCCAUGGGUUUGGUGGGAGGUUUACAUCCAAUAGUACACAGAAUUACACUUUUUAAAGAAAAUAUUCCCCCAUAUAUGGAAGAGAAAGUGAAUAGCAUUUCAUCGCUUACAAUGUCUAAGGUGUUUUAGGUACAUUAUAAAUAAACUUAUUAUUCUUAGAACUCUUGGAGUUAGUCGGCUUUAUAUCUAUUUUACAGAUGAGGAAACUGAGGAUUAUUAAAGUUUAAAAACUUGCCUAAAUCCAUUCAUUCACUGGGUUAAGCCCCUGAUUCUAUCUGAUUGAAAAUCUACUUCUUUUCCUUACAUGAUGCUUCCAUUUACUCAACUAAUUUUAGGUUGUGGUAAAAAAUAAAUAACCAUGAUUUUUAAAGCUAAUACAAUUUUGAUUUGUAUUUGUUUUGGAAUACAUUACCAUAGGCAUGUCCACUGCUCACUCCUCUAUUUUAAAGUGUUUUUCUACAUUGGCUACAAAUUGAAAAAAUCUGGGUGGAUUAGCAGUAUCAUUGCUUGGGUCCAACCCAAAGAUUAGAGAUUCUAAAUUAAAUCUUCUGUGAGAUUUAGGCAUUGAGAUUUGUAAACUCCCCAGGUUAUUCUAAUAUGUAGUUAAGAUUGAGAAACAUUGUACUAUAGGAAACUACAUUCCCCACAGCAUUUCUGUGCAGCAGUGGUUGUGUUUUGGGUCAUAUAGUCCUGCAAUACUCACUCUUUCCCCCGAAAUUGAGUGGUUAAAUGCCCGUGACAUGCCUUGGUAUUAAAAAAUAAGACAGGUUAAUCAAGUGUCCUCUGUUUUUAAAGUUAAUUGGGAAAUACCAAGGAAUGAAUGUUGUAAGCUAAUAGUUCCAAAACUUAAUUGGACAUUAGAAUCACCUGGAAGCUUCUAACACUUGCAAUGGUUUAUCUUGACUCAUAUACAUCAAAUCAGAAUGUCUAGGGUGGGAGCUAGCACUGGCCAUUUUUAAACAUCCCAGGUAACUACAAAAUGAAUCAAAAUAUGGGGACCAUUGCAAGAAGCGAUGGGAGCUUAAGCCUAACAGUCAUGGUAUAGAGCCACAUUUCUCAAAUUUAAAUGCUGAUUCUGAUACAGCAGGUCUAGAGUUGGGCCCAAAGUUCUGCAGUUCUAACAACCUCCCAGGUGAAACUGAUGAUGCUGGGCCACAGACCACUUUGAGUAGCAGAAAGAGAGUCUCAGAAACCCUGGGGGGAAGGAAGCAUGAACCAGAAGGAGGGAAUGAAGAAUAUGAGAUUAACAAUAACAAAAGAUAGAGAGUAGAAUAUGAGGUGGCUUGUCUAUAGGAAGAGGAGAAUAGAACAAGCUUUUCUUGAGUUAACCUUGAACAGCACUGCGAUCAAGAUCCCUGAGCUCCUGAUACUGGGAUUCCUAGAGGUUGUUUCAAUAUAGAAGAACCUUUAAGUUCCUGCUGUUCCUUAAAAUCUAUUUUGGAAUUUCCGUGUUUCUUCACAUGUGUGUUUUUAUUACUGAACUUUCAUUAACUGAAGCAAGAUGCACCAGACAUUGUGGAUUACUCAACAUGGUUCUCAUUUUCCUCUUUCCAGUUUUGUUCACUUAUUGCAUUUAGUUGACUAUUGCUGUAUAAUAAAUUAUCCUCUAAACUUAGUGGCUUAAAAGAAUAAAUACUUAUAACCUUAUAUUCCCAUGGCCAGCCUAUUUGGGGAGUUCUGGCUCAGGAUGUCUCAGGAGUUUGCAGUCAGGAUAAUAGCAAGGGCUGCAGACCUAUGAUGCCUCAACUGGACCUGGGGGAUCUGCUUCCAAGAGGACUCGCUCACAUGCUAUUGGAGCCUCAGUUCUUUUUUUUUUUUUUUAACUUUCAAAUAUUUUUCCCUUAUAGUUAUGGUAAUCACUGCAUUUCAGUCUUAUUUGAAUGAAUUUUAAACUACAAAAGUGAAACAUUUUUCACAUUUCUGUUCCCUUUUUUUCACAUGGCUGUUCAGCAGGCACUAGUGGCUUAUUGGUUUAUUAUGAACAAAAGUUUUUAGUAGUAUUACAUUUCGUGGCUAUUUAUGGCAAUGGUAAUUAAUCUUUGAAUACUUGAAGAUGUGUCUAAAUGCUUUGAUCUGAUUUUGAACAAAUUCCAAUAUUACUGAUUUUCUUGGAACCAAUAUGUUUAUUGAGAGUUUUAGAAAAGUAGAUACUAAUGUCGUUUAUACUAAUUCACAUAUUCAUCUAUUGGGAAUUGUGAGCCUCAGUUUUUGACCAUGUGGGUUUCUCCUUAGAGUGUCCUUACAGCAUGGCCAUUUGUUUCCUUCAGAGUGAAUGAUUCUAGAGCUUGACCAAGGUGGAAGCUACAGUGAGUUUUAUGACCCAGAAGUCAUACACUGUCACUUCUAUUUUAUUCAGUUUGUUUGAAGUGAGGCACUACGUCCAGCCCAAAGUCAAAGAAGGGAAAUUAUAGAGUCCAGCUUUUGAAAGGAGUGUCACAGAGUUUGUGGACAUAUUUAAAUAACCACAGAUGAUUACUCUUUCACAGAGCCACGCGUUUUAGGGAAAGCUGCUUACAUUGUCAGCAGGUUCUCAAAACGGUUUUCAAAGGGCAGCAAAAUCGCUUUGGGAAUUAAGUAUGCAAAUACAUGGGCCCUACCCUAGAAGAACUGGGUAAGAAGCCCAGGGGGUUAGGCCAGUGAUCUGUGAGUUAACAGGCUCUCCAGGUGAUUGUAACACACACUCAAGCUUGAGAACCAUCACCCUCAGCUGGUCUUUAUAAUUCAAUUACCGUUGUCAGCUUGUGCAAUUAGGCAUGAGUAGGUAUAUAUUGAGGGCUUCUGGGAUUUUUUUUUUUUUUUUUUUUUUCUUUCCUGGGAAGCAGUGGCUGCUGGUUGUACUUCGGUGCGUGGUGUUGAAGUGGCUGCAAACCAGUUUGCUGCCAGUCUGCAGAGGAAGGCAUUUGUUGGAGCAGAAGCACAGAACUUUGGAGAAGUAGAGCUGAGACCUGGAUAUACUUGGCAGAAGCCUGCAUUGCAAACUUGUGACUGGGUGAGAUGAUCAGUUCCACUAUUAUUUAUGCCAGUUUGAAACAAUGUUUUCUGUUAACUUAGUAUUGCCAUCCUGAUUGACCCACUGUCUCUAACUUAAAGUGGUUGGUUCAUUGACUUUUAUCAGUCUUAUCUGCACAUUUGGGUGAUAUGAACAGUUUUGAAAAAUACCACUCUUGGGCUCCCUUUUAGAAAGUCUAAGUAGUCCAGCCUGGAUCCCUGGUCAUGGAAUUUUUAAUAGGUGAUUUUCAAAUGCAGGCAGCAUUAAGAGCCACUGGUAACGACAACAACUGAAAGUCUCUCUGUCCAAGUAUUGAAAACCAUCUUUCUUCUAACACUGCUGAACUAUCCCAGAAUAAGAACUUUGUGAACUAAGGGGUCAGUAUCCUUAUAAGAAGUAGAACAAUGGUGGCUUUUUUUUCUUAUACAGCUGAUACUAAAAUAACACUUGUCAGGUUAACAUGACCAUUUUUCUAAAUUUACGAACUAAUUUCUUCUGGUUAAGUAACUUGUCCUGAACUCUAAUACUUCUAGUUUAUUUUCUCAGUCCCCCAGGGUCUGGGUGGUUAUAGGAACACAUCUAUGAGGAAGCAUUUCAUGUCAGUUCUUGAAGAAAUCAUUUUUAUUGCUUUUAUUUUACUUCCCAUAAAAAGGCAGCUCCAGUAACACUCUAAAAUCACUGAAACAUUUUUUUCUGUGUAAAUUUUGAAUUUUUGUUUUCUUCCCCACUUACUUCCCACCAUCACUUCUCAUUUUGUAAUUAUUAUUCUGUCCUGAAAUAGUCUACCAAGAGAUAUAUCAUAAUUUUCACCAUAACAUUGCUGGACAUUACUGAGCACUGGUGGUGACCUCGGUGUUCAUUGCUUGGGGAAUGGAAAAAGAAAGUAGUGUGGAUGUUUGCCACGUAAGACUUUGCUGCAGUUAGAAGUAAUGGACUCAAUGUACAUUUAAGUCUGAUUAAAAUUUAAAAACGUAACUUUGGGAGUUCCCGUCAUGGCUCAGUGGUUAACCAACCUGACUAGGAUCCAUGAAGACUCAGGUUUGAUCCCUGACCUUUUUCAGUGGGUCAAGGAUCCAGUGUUGCCGUGAGCUGUGGUGUAGGUUGCAGACCUGGCUCAGUUCCUGCAUUGCUGUGGCUGUGAUGUAGACUGGCAGUGUAGCUCUGAUUCGACCCCUAGCCUGGGAACUUCCAUAUGUCAUGGGUGCGGUGCAAAGACAAAAAAAAAAAAAAAAAAAAAAAAGAACUUAAUUUUGAAGAGAAAAACCUAAGUGGGGCUAGGUCCCACAGCCUAAUGCAAGUUUUGGAAGUUAAAGAUACAUUGAUCUCAAAAUAAUACAAAUACAUUGUAUUUAAGAGUUAUGUAUAGUUUUUUACGUCUCCAUGGACGUACAGGUGCAUUCAAAUAAUAUCUACAUAUUUUAGUGUUAAACACAGUAAGCUUCCUGAAAGGGAGGGGAAAGGAGGAAAACUAGUGAUGAAGAGGGAGAAUAAAAAUAGGAAUCUCUCUAGGGGGUAAUGAUGAGAAUAUCUCUUGGACAGAGGAGUAUGAUUACCCAAGCUUUGUAUCCGAGUUUCCUCUCCAACCUUGUAAAAGUCUCUAAAAUCUUGAAACAGGCUGGGGAUUUGAAAACCCGUAAUUGAGUUUGAGAACUGCAAAUUAAAUAGGAAUAAACAAGACAAAGUUUAAGUGUAAGUGCUUUGUUUAAACAAGUCUCAGGGUGACCGUUUAUGCAGGUUAUGUGCUGGACAUCGGGCCAAGCCUGGGGGAAGGAGGAGCUAAAGUGUAGCAGUGCUCCAUGUGCUGUAGGGAAACUUUUUCUAAGUCACCGGAAAACACCAUAGCGACAGUGGAGCCCCCGUUGUGACUUUUAUUUGGGGAGUUUAGUGUUGGUUCCAAAAAAGUAGAAGCUGUUUCCUUUAUACAGGGUGCCAGUGCUUAACAAAUUACUGGGUCACCUGGUUAGUCCUGAAUCAACAUUUGCUGAAAGAACGAAUUGUUAGUGAUUGGCUUACUUUUGGGUGCAGGCUGAAGUUUCUGGAAAUCUCAUUUCUUUAAGUGGAGUAUCAAUCUUGGUGAGUCAGGUUCAAGACUUUCCUCAAAUAUACACAUUCAAAUUAAACAUAGUUUUGGUAUUCUAGAAAAAUGCUUUAAGCAAAACUAUUUUGGUAUGGUAGGCAGUAUGCUCUAGUGGUCAAGGCUCUGGUCCCUGGACAUAGGCAGGGGUGAUCUGAAAGCCUUAGCCCUGGAACACUGUCCCCACUGGCAUCAACAGCAUCCAGGAACUGGCUAGAGUAGUGUUGCUUAGAGUUUUACCCCAGUGUACGGAAUCAGAAACUCUGGAAUGUGUGCUCCUACAACCUGAUUUAAUAAGAUUGCCAGGUGAUUCUGAUACAGCCUAAUAUUUGAGACUCUUACCUUGAAACUAUUAAUCUUGGUACAUUUCAUUCCCUCUACCUUUUCUCUCUUUUGUGACCCAUUUCCUUAGAGACCCAGAAUAAUCGCUGUGUUCUCACUCUAUUUUUCCAUUUACAGAUAAUGGGGAAACAAAAGUCCCCUAUUGGUGUACCAUAUUGAAGUUAGUUUUGAAUUUAAUGGGGCCGUUCAAUUUAUGUCCCAGAGUAGCUCAUUUAUGACCUCAAGACUAAAAGACAUAUUAGAAAUAGGUGAAAUAAAGUUAAUUGCCCUUUCAUUGUAAUCAAUAGUUCUCUCUACUCUCUUAUUCUUGUGUUGUUGCUCAUUGCGUGGUUUUUGAAAGAUGCAAAAAAAAAAAACAAAAAAAAAAA